GGGGCUGGUGAGCAUAGAGAAUAAGUAGAAGGAGAAAUCUAGGCUCAGGAAGAGAAGAUGGAAGGAGAGAUCGGGGAACACACCGGGACCACAGCCAGAAAGCAAUCAGCCAGCCAGACAGAGACAGCAAGAAAGGAAGAAAAGGUAAAAAGCCCAGAGGCAGAAGUUUUGGGAAGAGCCCGGCAGUACCUUGUCAAUCACCUUGGAAACCAUGGACCAAGAUGCCAGGCAGACAGCUUGCAGGGCAGACUAGCUCUACAGCUCUAAGAUACAAGUGGACUGCCAACUGCUGGAUCAUUUGGACCAAGGGAUAUUUCCACUUAGGGAGAGAGGGAAGCUGCCUCUGAGAGGGAUGGGAAGGUAGAUGAGCCCAUAGCAGAUCAAACACUGAAGAAGAAAAUAUACAUGACUCAAGGAAGACAUAGAAACCUGUCUCGAAUACCAGAAAGGGAGACAAGACUUCUAGAAACAGAUAGUGACUGCUGAGACACUGCAGGCAGUCUAGAACAUGCAAAUGCAGUCCCAAAGAUGAAGAGGAGGAGGAAAAGGGGGAACAUAUAGAUGAAGAAGUAUCCCCCCAGCCCCAUAUCUUUUUUUUUAACAUAUGAGCCCAGGACCUGGAGAGAUGACUCUGUAGUUAGGAGCACUUGAAUAAGACUGGGUUCAAUUCCUAGUGUUUACAUGGUACUCAGAACAACCUAUAAGUCCAGUUCUAGGGGUUUUGACACACUCCUCUGACCUGCAUAGGCACCAGGUACACACCACACACACACACACACACACACACACACAGGUACGUGUACUACAAAGUUCCUCAGAGUUCCCUCACACAAACUCAUAUACACAGGCCCAUACAAAUAAUAUUGUAAUCAAAUGUCUGAAACCUACUCAUAAAGAACUUAUAUUCUCAGCAACCAGACAAAAUGGACAAUUUAACUACAAAGACAUGAAGAUGAUUGUCUUAGUUAGAGUUUUAUUGCCGUGAAGAGACUCCAUGACCACACCAACUCUUAUAAAGGAAAACAUCUAACUGGGGCUGGCUUACAGUUU